rnacentral:tRNA from 13 species
GCGCGAUUAGCUCAGCGGGAGAGCGCUACCUUGACACGGUAGAGGUCACUGGUUCAAUCCCAGUAUCGCGCACCA